ensembl:snRNA U6 U6 spliceosomal RNA
GUGCUCACUUUGGCAGCAUAUAUGCUAAAAUUGGGAUGAGAGAGAAGAACAGCAUGGACCCUGCACAGGAUGAGACACAAAUUCAAGAAGCAUUCCAUAUUUUU